GAUGAAGGAACGUAGCGAAAUGCGAUAAGUAAUGUGAAUUGCAGAAUUCAGUGAAUCAUCGAAUCUUUGAACGCACAUUGCGCCCUCUGGUAUUCCGGGGGGCAUGCCUGUUCGAGCGUCAUUAUAACCACUCAAGCUCUCGCUUGGUAUUGGGGCUCGCGGUUCCGCGGCCCCUAAAAUCAGUGGCGGUGCCUGUCGGCUCUACGCGUAGUAAUACUCCUCGCGAUUGAGUCCGGUAGGUCUACUUGCCAGCAACCCCCAAUUUUUACAGGUUGACCUCGGAUCAGGUAGGGAUACCCGCUGAACUUAAGCAUAUCAAUAAGCGGAGGA
rnacentral:misc_RNA from 1 species